rnacentral:rRNA from 1 species
UACCUGCAGCUCGAGUGGUAACCGCUAUUAUUGGGCCUAAAGCGUCCGUAGCCGGUUUGGUAAAUAUCUGGGUAAAUCGUGAGGCUUAACUUCACGAAUUUCGGAUAGACUGCCAGACUUGGGAUCGGGGGAGGUCAGAGGUACUCCAGGGGUAGCGGUGAAAUGUUGUAAUCCUUGGAGGACCACCGGUAGCGAAGGCGUCUGACUAGAACGAGUCCGACGGGUGAGGGACGAAGCCCUGGGGCGCAAACCGGAUUAGAUACCCGGGGUAGUCCAGGGUGUAAACAAUGUGGGCUUUGUAUUGGAGGUCCCACGUGGGCGUCCAGUGCAGAAGAGAAGUUGUUAAAGCCCACCGCCUGGGAAGUACGGUCGCAAGGCUGAAACUUAAAGGAAUUGGCGGGGGAGCACAGCAACGGGAGGAGCGUGCGGUUU